GUCUGGAGAGUUGUAACUGCUCCAAGAUUGUAGCUACGGAAACUUGUAGAACUUACCUUCAAAUGCGAUUUGUUUCCCGUUUGCGGUUAUUCGCGUUUGCGGUUAAUGUGAUUAUUAAGGUUUCUAUCGGAUAUUAGAAUAAUUUCAGUAUUGAAAAAUGGCCUUUGAGCAUUCUGAUUGUCUCUCUCAGCACUAACUCUGAG